GACGAACGCUGGCGGCGUGCCUAACACAUGCAAGUCGAACGGAACUGUUUUGAAAGAUUUCUUCGGAAUGAAUUUGAUUUAGUUUAGUGGCGGACGGGUGAGUAACGCGUGAGUAACCUGCCUUCAAGAGGGGAAUAACAUUCUGAAAAGAAUGCUAAUACCGCAUGACAUAUCGGAACCACAUGGUUUUGUUAUCAAAAAUUUUAUCGCUUGAAGAUGGACUCGCGUCCGAUUAGUUAGUUGGUGAGGUAACGGCUCACCAAGACCGCGAUCGGUAGCCGGACUGAGAGGUUGAACGGCCACAUUGGGACUGAGACACGGCCCAGACUCCUACGGGAGGCAGCAGUGGGGGAUAUUGCGCAAUGGGGGCAACCCUGACGCAGCAACGCCGCGUGAAGGAUGAAGGUUUUCGGAUUGUAAACUUCUUUUAUUAAGGACGAAAAAUGACGGUACUUAAUGAAUAAGCUCCGGCUAACUACGUG
rnacentral:rRNA from 1 species